rnacentral:rRNA from 1 species
UACAGGGGGGGCAAGCGUUGUUCGGAAUUACUGGGCGUAAAGGGCCAGUAGGCGGCCAACUAAGUCCGACGUGAAAUCCCCAGGCUUAACCUGGGAACUGCGUCGGAUACUGGAUGGCUUGAAUUCGGGAGAGGGAUGCAGAAUUCCAGGUGUAGCGGUGAAAUGCGUAGAUAUCGGGAGGAACACCAGUGGCGAAGGGCGGCUUCCUGGCCUGUUCUUGACGCUGAGG